GACGAACGCUGGCGGCGUGCCUAAUACAUGCAAGUCGAGCGGACUUUCCGGAGUGUUUGCACUUCGGAAGGUUAGCGGCGGGCGGGUGAGUAACACGUAGCCAACCUUCGCAUAAGACCGGGAUACCAUUCGGAAACGAAUGUUAAUACCGGAUAGACGGACUUCUUGCAUGAGGUGAUCGGGAAAGGCCGAGCAAUCUGCCGCUCACGGCUUGUCCUGCGGUGCAUUAGCUAGUUGGUGGGGUAACGAUCUACCAAGGCGACGAUGGGGAGACGAACUGGGAGGCGGGUAGGCCGCACUAGAACGGAGACGCGGCCCAGACUCCUGCGGGAGGCCGCAGUAGGGUAUCGGCCGCAAUAGACGGGAGUCUGGCGGAGCGACGGCGCGUGAGUGGGGGAGGCCUUCGGGUCGUGAAGCUCUGUUGCCAGGGAAGAACGGGCAGGGGAGUAACUGACCUUGCCGUGACGGUAACUGGGAAGGAAGCCCCGGCUAACUACGUG
rnacentral:rRNA from 1 species